CCUACGGGCGGCAGCAGUGAGGAAUAUUGGUCAAUGGGCGCGAGCCUGAACCAGCCAAGUAGCGUGAAGGAUGACUGCCCUACGGGUUGUAAACUUCUUUUAUAAAGGAAUAACGCGCCUUACGUGUAGGGCUUUGCAUGUACCGUAUGAAUAAGGACCGGCUAAUUCCGUGCCAGCAGCCGCGGUAAUACGGAAGGUCCGGGCGUUAUCCGGAUUUAUUGGGUUUAAAGGGAGCGUAGGCCGCAUGUCAAGCGUGCUGUGAAAUGUCCGGGCUCAACCCGGGCCUUGCAGCGCGAAAUGGCGUGCGUGAGUCCGCGGAAAGCAGGCGGAAUUCGUCGUGUAGCGGUGAAAUGCUUAGAUAUGACGAAGAACCCCGAUUGCGAAGGCAGCUUGCUGCAGCGGAACUGACGCUGAUGCUCGAAAGCGCGGGUAUCGAACAGGAUUAGAUACCCCUGUAGUC
rnacentral:rRNA from 1 species